rnacentral:misc_RNA from 1 species
UCUCCGUAGGUGAACCUGCGGAGGGAUCAUUACAGAGUUCAUGCCCUACCGGGUAGGUCUCCCACCCUAUGUUAUUAUUACUUUGUUGCCUUGGCGGGCCGUUAGGCUCCGGCCCGACUACCGGCCCCGGCUGGUAAGCGCCCGCCAGAGGACCCAAAACCCUGAAUAUUAGUGUCGUCUGAGUACUAUAUAAUAGUUAAAACUUUCAACAACGGAUCUCUUGGUUCUG